rnacentral:rRNA from 1 species
ACGAACGCUGGCGGCGUGCCUAAUACAUGCAAGUCGAACGAGAGCGACCGGUGCUUGCACUGGUCAAUCUAGUGGCGAACGGGUGAGUAACACGUGGGUAACCUGCCCAUCAGAGGGGGAUAACAUCCGGAAACGGAUGCUAAAACCGCAUAGGUCUUCGAACCGCAUGGUUUGAAGAGGAAAAGAGGCGUAAGCUUCUGCUGAUGGAUGGACCCGCGGUGCAUUAGCUAGUUGGUGAGGUAACGGCUCACCAAGGCCGUGAUGCAUAGCCGACCUGAGAGGGUGAUCGGCCACAUUGGGACUGAGACACGGCCCAAACUCCUACGGGAGGCAGCAGUAGGGAAUCUUCCGCAAUGGACGCAAGUCUGACGGAGCAACGCCGCGUGAGUGAAGAAGGUUUUCGGAUCGUAAAACUCUGUUGUUAGAGAAGAACAAGUGCUAGAGUAACUGUUAGCGCCUUGACGGUAUCUAACCAGAAAGCCACGGCUAACUACGUG